rnacentral:rRNA from 1 species
AUUGAACGCUAGCGGGAUGCCUAACACAUGCAAGUCGAACGGAGUGGCGAACGGGUGAGUAAUGUAUCGGACCGUGCCCCUUCGCGGGGGAUAACUACGCGAAAGCGUAGCUGAUACCGCAUACUAUUGGCGCGGCCUAUAUCGGAUUAGCUAGUUGGUGGGGUAACGGCUCACCAAGGCGACGAGCCGUAGCUGGUUUGAGAGGACGACCAGCCACACUGGGACUGAGACACGGCCCAGACUCCUACGGGAGGCAGCAGUGGGGAAUAUUGGACAAUGGGGGAAAGCCUGAUCCAGCCAUCCCGCGUGUGCGAAGAAGGCCUUCGGGUUGUAAAGCACUUUUGGCAGGGAGGCGUUACCUGCAGAAUAAGCACCGGCUAACUACGUGCCAGCAGCCGCGGUAAUAC